UACAGAGGGUGCGAGCGUUAAUCGGAAUUACUGGGCGUAAAGCGCGCGUAGGCGGCUUUGCAAGUCGGGUGUGAAAUCCCCAGGCUUAACCUGGGAACUGCAUUCGAGACUGCAUUGCUAGAGUAUGGGAGAGGGAAGUGGAAUUUCCGGUGUAGCGGUGAAAUGCGUAGAUAUCAGGAGGAACACCGGUGGCGAAGGCGGCUUUCUGGACAGAUACCGACGCUGAGGCACGAAAGCUAGGGGAGCAAACGGG
rnacentral:rRNA from 1 species